rfam:Candidatus Giovannonibacteria bacterium RIFCSPLOWO2_01_FTLL_45_34 rifcsplowo2_01_scaffold_53824, whole genome shotgun sequence.
GGAAGGGUCGCAUAGUGGUCUAGUGCGCUCGCUUGGAAAGCGAGUGUGCCGCAAGGCACCGCGAGUUCGAAUCUCGCCCCUUCCG